AACGAACGCUGGCGGCAGGCCUAACACAUGCAAGUCGAGCGCGCCUUUCGGGGUGAGCGGCGGACGGGUUAGUAACGCGUGGGAAUAUACCCUUUGGUACGGAAUAGCCUCUGGAAACGGAGAGUAAUACCGUAUGAGCCCUUCGGGGGAAAGAUUUAUCGCCAAAGGAUUAGCCCGCGUUAGAUUAGGUAGUUGGUGGGGUAAUGGCCUACCAAGCCUACGAUCUAUAGCUGGUUUUAGAGGAUGAUCAGCAACACUGGGACUGAGACACGGCCCAGACUCCUACGGGAGGCAGCAGUGGGGAAUCUUGGACAAUGGGGGGCAACCCUGAUCCAGCCAUGCCGCGUGAGUGAUGAAGGCCUUAGGGUCGUAAAGCUCUUUCGCCUGUGAAGAUAAUGACGGUAGCAGGUAAAGAAACCCCGGCUAACUCCGUGCCAGCAGCCGCGGUAAU
rnacentral:rRNA from 1 species